UACGAAGGGGGCUAGCGUUGUUCGGAGUUACUGGGCGUAAAGGGCGCGUAGGCGGCGCACCAAGUCAGGCGUGAAAGCCCGGGGCUCAACUCCGGAAUUGCCUUUAAAACUGCAUCGCUAGAAUUGUGGAGAGGUAAGUGGAAUUCCGAGUGUAGAGGUGAAAUUCGUAGAUAUUCGGAAGAACACCAGUGGCGAAGGCGACUUACUGGACACAUAUUGACGCUGAGGUGCGAAAGCGUGGGGAGCAAACAGG
rnacentral:rRNA from 1 species